ACUUGUGGAUAGCUCAGUCAGUAGAGCACGAGGCUCUGAAUCUCAGGGUCAUGGGUUUGAGCUUCAUGCUGGGCA